GGAAUACCCGCUGAACUUAAGCAUAUCAAUAAGCGGAGGAA
rnacentral:rRNA from 1 species